rnacentral:rRNA from 1 species
GGUUAAGCGACUAAGCGUACACGGUGGAUGCCCUGGCAGUCAGAGGCGAUGAAGGACGUGCUAAUCUGCGAUAAGCGUCGGUAAGGUGAUAUGAACCGUUAUAACCGGCGAUUUCCGAAUGGGGAAACCCAGUGUGUUUCGACACACUAUCAUUAACUGAAUCCAUAGGUUAAUGAGGCGAACCGGGGGAACUGAAACAUCUAAGUACCCCGAGGAAAAGAAAUCAACCGAGAUUCCCCCAGUAGCGGCGAGCGAACGGGGAGGAGCCCAGAGCCUGAAUCAGUGUGUGUGUUAGUGGAAGCGUCUGGAAAGGCGCGCGAUACAGGGUGACAGCCCCGUACACAAAAAUGCACAUACUGUGAGCUCGAUGAGUAGGGCGGGACACGUGGUAUCCUGUCUGAAUAUGGGGGGACCAUCCUCCAAGGCUAAAUACUCCUGACUGACCGAUAGUGAACCAGUACCGUGAGGGAAAGGCGAAAAGAACCCCGGCGAGGGGAGUGAAAAAGAACCUGAAACCGUGUACGUACAAGCAGUGGGAGCACGCUUCGGCGUGUGACUGCGUACCUUUUGUAUAAUGGGUCAGCGACUUAUAUUCUGUAGCAAGGUUAACCGAAUAGGGGAGCCGAAGGGAAACCGAGUCUUAACUGGGCGUUAAGUUGCAGGGUAUAGACCCGAAACCCGGUGAUCUAGCCAUGGGCAGGUUGAAGGUUGGGUAACACUAACUGGAGGACCGAACCGACUAAUGUUGAAAAAUUAGCGGAUGACUUGUGGCUGGGGGUGAAAGGCCAAUCAAACCGGGAGAUAGCUGGUUCUCCCCGAAAGCUAUUUAGGUAGCGCCUCGUGAAUUCAUCUCCGGGGGUAGAGCACUGUUUCGGCAAGGGGGUCAUCCCGACUUACCAACCCGAUGCAAACUGCGAAUACCGGAGAAUGUUAUCACGGGAGACACACGGCGGGUGCUAACGUCCGUCGUGAAGAGGGAAACAACCCAGACCGCCAGCUAAGGUCCCAAAGUCAUGGUUAAGUGGGAAACGAUGUGGGAAGGCCCAGACAGCCAGGAUGUUGGCUUAGAAGCAGCCAUCAUUUAAAGAAAGCGUAAUAGCUCACUGGUCGAGUCGGCCUGCGCGGAAGAUGUAACGGGGCUAAACCAUGCACCGAAGCUGCGGCAGCGACACUAUGUGUUGUUGGGUAGGGGAGCGUUCUGUAAGCCUGCGAAGGUGGCCUGUGAGGGUUGCUGGAGGUAUCAGAAGUGCGAAUGCUGACAUAAGUAACGAUAAAGCGGGUGAAAAGCCCGCUCGCCGGAAGACCAAGGGUUCCUGUCCAACGUUAAUCGGGGCAGGGUGAGUCGACCCCUAAGGCGAGGCCGAAAGGCGUAGUCGAUGGGAAACAGGUUAAUAUUCCUGUACUUGGUGUUACUGCGAAGGGGGGACGGAGAAGGCUAUGUUGGCCGGGCGACGGUUGUCCCGGUUUAAGCGUGUAGGCUGGUUUUCCAGGCAAAUCCGGAAAAUCAAGGCUGAGGCGUGAUGACGAGGCACUACGGUGCUGAAGCAACAAAUGCCCUGCUUCCAGGAAAAGCCUCUAAGCAUCAGGUAACAUCAAAUCGUACCCCAAACCGACACAGGUGGUCAGGUAGAGAAUACCAAGGCGCUUGAGAGAACUCGGGUGAAGGAACUAGGCAAAAUGGUGCCGUAACUUCGGGAGAAGGCACGCUGAUAUGUAGGUGAAGUCCCUCGCGGAUGGAGCUGAAAUCAGUCGAAGAUACCAGCUGGCUGCAACUGUUUAUUAAAAACACAGCACUGUGCAAACACGAAAGUGGACGUAUACGGUGUGACGCCUGCCCGGUGCCGGAAGGUUAAUUGAUGGGGUCAGCGCAAGCGAAGCUCUUGAUCGAAGCCCCGGUAAACGGCGGCCGUAACUAUAACGGUCCUAAGGUAGCGAAAUUCCUUGUCGGGUAAGUUCCGACCUGCACGAAUGGCGUAAUGAUGGCCAGGCUGUCUCCACCCGAGACUCAGUGAAAUUGAACUCGCUGUGAAGAUGCAGUGUACCCGCGGCAAGACGGAAAGACCCCGUGAACCUUUACUAUAGCUUGACACUGAACAUUGAGCCUUGAUGUGUAGGAUAGGUGGGAGGCUUUGAAGUGUGGACGCCAGUCUGCAUGGAGCCGACCUUGAAAUACCACCCUUUAAUGUUUGAUGUUCUAACGUUGACCCGUAAUCCGGGUUGCGGACAGUGUCUGGUGGGUAGUUUGACUGGGGCGGUCUCCUCCUAAAGAGUAACGGAGGAGCACGAAGGUUGGCUAAUCCUGGUCGGACAUCAGGAGGUUAGUGCAAUGGCAUAAGCCAGCUUGACUGCGAGCGUGACGGCGCGAGCAGGUGCGAAAGCAGGUCAUAGUGAUCCGGUGGUUCUGAAUGGAAGGGCCAUCGCUCAACGGAUAAAAGGUACUCCGGGGAUAACAGGCUGAUACCGCCCAAGAGUUCAUAUCGACGGCGGUGUUUGGCACCUCGAUGUCGGCUCAUCACAUCCUGGGGCUGAAGUAGGUCCCAAGGGUAUGGCUGUUCGCCAUUUAAAGUGGUACGCGAGCUGGGUUUAGAACGUCGUGAGACAGUUCGGUCCCUAUCUGCCGUGGGCGCUGGAGAACUGAGGGGGGCUGCUCCUAGUACGAGAGGACCGGAGUGGACGCAUCACUGGUGUUCGGGUUGUCAUGCCAAUGGCACUGCCCGGUAGCUAAAUGCGGAAGAGAUAAGUGCUGAAAGCAUCUAAGCACGAAACUUGCCCCGAGAUGAGUUCUCCCUGACUCCUUGAGAGUCCUGAAGGAACGUUGAAGACGACGACGUUGAUAGGCCGGGUGUGUAAGCGCAGCGAUGCGUUGAGCUAACCGGUACUAAUGAACCGUGAGGCUUAACCUUACAACGC